CGUAACAAUGGGCCGAUUAUUCCAUUUCAACAAGUGAAUGCUCGAACAGCGGCUUUGACAGGUGUUUCUGAAAGAACCGUGAACCGUAUAGUUUCAGAGGGAAAAAUCAUGGAAAGUAAUUUUACAGCGAGAACUGAAGUCCCUAAUCAAGCAGCUCAAGGACCUUCCACAUCCACAGCUUGUGAUGACAAUUCCACACCAGAGAACACUACUUCCGAGGCUAAGACGAUAAAACUAGUCACU